AAAGGCCUACCAAGGCGACGAUCUGUAGCUGGUCUGAGAGGAUGAUCAGCCACACUGGGACUGAGACACGGCCCAGACUCCUACGGGAGGCAGCAGUGGGGAAUAUUGGACAAUGGGCGAAAGCCUGAUCCAGCCAUGCCGCGUGUGUGAAGAAGGCCUUUUGGUUGUAAAGCACUUUAAGUGGGGAGGAAAAGCUUAUGGUUAAUACCCAUAAGCCCUGACGUUACCCACAGAAUAAGCACCGGCUAACUCUGUGCCAGCAGCCGCGGUAAUACAGAGGGUGCAAGCGUUAAUCGGAAUUACUGGGCGUAAAGCGCGCGUAGGUGGUUAUUUAAGUCAGAUGUGAAAGCCCCGGGCUUAACCUGGGAACUGCAUCUGAUACUGGAUAACUAGAGUAGGUGAGAGGGGAGUAGAAUUCCAGGUGUAGCGGUGAAAUGCGUAGAGAUCUGGAGGAAUACCGAUGGCGAAGGCAGCUCCCUGGCAUCAUACUGACACUGAGGUGCGAAAGCGUGGGUAGCAAACAGGAUUAGAUACCCUGGUAGUCCACGCCGUAAACGAUGUCUACCAGUCGUUGGGUCUUUUAAAGACUUAGUGACGCAGUUAACGCAAUAAGUAGA
rnacentral:rRNA from 1 species